CUUGUGUUUUUUCAGUAUAACUCUAUGGGAGAAGGAUUGGGAGCAAAUACUAGUCUGCUUUUUUAUGAAACCUUCUAUUAGAACACUGUUGCUUAUUUAGAAAAAUAGGUUCCUCUCCUUUUUGGUUGGGCAAACCACAAUGUUCAUGUCCACGGCUAUUUUGAGGGGACAGGAAACAUGCUCCUUAUAUCCCCUACAUCUUCCUAUCUUCCCCACUACCCCAUAUGGGGGAGCUGGGGUUGAAUUCUCUGUCACUGCCAAUGGGACACUGUACUUCCUGAUAGUCUAUGAACCAGAACCCUUCCUCUGCCACCACAUCCAUGUUCAAUCCUUAUUUUUUUUUCUUUCUUAAGUAGGCUUCAUGCCCAGGAUGGAGCCCCCUGUGGGGCUUGAACUCAUGACCCUGAGAUUAAGACCUGAGCUGAGAUCAAGAGUCAGACGCUUGACCGACUGAACCACCCAGGUGUCCCCACAUUCAAUCCUGUCUUCUAGUCUCCAUGACGGAUGGCCUGAGACAUUGACCUGCCAGUGUUUGCCUGUUCCUUCUCCUACAUUUCCUUCAUCGCUCUCCAAGGUGCCUUAGGAUUAGCUCUUAGGAGGAAAAUACCCAAGAAGAGGUGAUUAAUCACUGUCUGAAAAGUGCUUUGAGAUCCUCUGAAGAAAGGAAACUGCAUCAGACGUGAACAGCGCCAAGCUGAGCCCUGGGCUUCCUGCUCCUGUGUUCUUUCACCGUCUCAUGCUGCCCGUCUCCUGACCAGGAACAGUUAAGCCAGUGUAAAAUGUCCAGUGUUCCUGGCUACUCUGGAGGUAUCAGCAGCUCAGCCAAACUGAAGGUAUUCUAAACACAUUGCAGAGCAUCUAAAUUGAGUGGGGAGAAUUUAUAUUCUAAAAAACAUUGGAAGGCUGGGACCAUAAAGGACUACCAAAGACUCAGUCUUAAGAGCUUAAAUGGACUGAGUUGUUCCAGAGCAGAGCCAAAGGCACGGAGGCAGACGCAGAUUUGGAGCUGCUCUGAGGCAGACGCCAAGUUGUGAAGCAGUGGGAGGGGCUGCCCCACGUAACCCCCACGCCACUGGGGCCUCUGCCUGUGGAACCCAAGCAAGAUGGACUUGCCCUCCUCCCUCGGCUUGUACCAGAGUCCAGACCUGAUAGCCUCUAAAAUUGUAUCAGCUUCAGGCCCCACAAAAUCUGGAUGUGCUCCUGGUCCCAACACAGUUGGUUGACAAACACCCUUCUUAGGAGCCAACUCAGAAGAAGGCAGACGCCAGAGAGGACCCAGGCGGCCGCCAGAGGUGCAGCAGAGUCGGGGCUCUCAAAGAGGCCACACCGCUGUGGAUCACACUAAAGAGAGGCAGGCCUGCUUUGGAUAAAGUCUCAGCUCUUGAGCAGUGAAGCCCAGGCAGGCAGGCAGGCACAUCGACAGAACCCCAGAAGACUCCAUGCCCUGUGAUAAGGACCAGAGAGGGGGUCACAGCACCAGAACCCUGCCAUUAAGCUCCCAGGGUUCCCACCAGCUUGCCACCAGGAGAAGCUGGAGAGUGACACCAACAUCUACGGUGUGUUUCUUAUGGCUCAGCUGGCAGAGGCCCUGGGGGACUUCCAAGGCAUCUGGGAGCUAAAUGGGAUACCAGAGUUCCAGAGGUUCCUGUGAAGGCCCGAAACGGGCAGAAGAACAUCAAAGGCUUCUCAAGUAAGAUGAUUAAUCAAAUAGGAUGUCUCAAAAGGUGCCUUUUCCUACUGAUAAGAGCUAGACACUGGCGAGGACACCUCAAGCCCUUUGAAGAGAAAAAUAAGCCCAUGUUGUUGUGGGAAGCUAUGGAAGGAUUGGCUUUUCGGCACACUUGAUACCUACUGUUCCCACGCAAGUCCGAGCUUCCCAGACUCACCACAACCGCUGUCAAAGCCUCUACCUGGUCUCUGCUAUAUCCAGCCUCCCCCCCACAUUCUCUGCACAGCUGCCAUAGUCCUCUUUUAAAGAGGGAAAGUGAGGGGCGCCCCGGGGGGCUCGGUCGGUUGAGCGUCCCACUCUUGUUUUCAGCUCAGGUCAUAAUCUCACGGGUUUUGGGUUCGAGCCCCACAUUGGGCUCUGCCCUGCCAGCUUGGAGCCUGCUUGGGGUCCUCUCCCUUUCUCUCUGCCCCGCCCCUGCUAGUGCAUGCUCUCUCUCUCAAAAUAAAUAAACAUUUGACACAAAUAAUAAAAAGGGAGGAUGCAAUCGUGCUCCCUCCGCAACUGAAAAGUC